rnacentral:rRNA from 1 species
GAUGAACGCUGGCGGCGUGCCUAAUACAUGCAAGUCGAGCGAACAGACGAGGAGCUUGCUCCUCUGACGUUAGCGGCGGACGGGUGAGUAACGCGUGGAUAACCUACCUAUCAGUCUGGGAUAACUUCGGGAAACCGGCGCUAAUACCGUAUAAUAUAUUGAUCCGCAUGGUUCAAUAGUGAAAGACGGCUUUGCUGUCACUUCUAGCUGGAUCUGGGCCGCAUUAGCUGGUUGGUAGGGUAACGGCCUACCAAGGCAACGAUGCGUAGACGAACUGACAGGGUGAUAGGCCACACUGGAACGUAGACACGGUCCAGGCUCCUACGGGAGGCAGCAGUAGGGAAUCGUCGGCAGUGGGCGAAAGCCUGACGGAGCAACGCGGAGCGAGUGAUGAAGGUCUUGGGAUCGUAAAACUGUGUUAUGAGGGAAGAACAAAUGUGUAAGUAAAUAUGCACGUCUUGACGGUAACGGAUCAGAAAGCAACGGCUAACUACGUG